rnacentral:rRNA from 1 species
GACGAACGCUGGCGGCGUGCCUAAUACAUGCAAGUCGAGCGGACUUGAAGGAGUGCUUGCACUCCUGAGAGUUAGCGGCGGACGGGUGAGUAACACGUAGGCAACCUGCCCUCAAGACUGGGAUAACUACCGGAAACGGUAGCUAAUACCGGAUAAUUUAUUACAUAGCAUUAUGUGAUAAUGAAAGACGGAGCAAUCUGUCACUUGGGGAUGGGCCUGCGGCGCAUUAGCUAGUUGGUGGGGUAACGGCCCACCAAGGCGACGAUGCGUAGCCGACCUGAGAGGGUGAACGGCCACACUGGGACUGGGACACGGCCCAGACUCCUACGGGAGGCAGCAGUAGGGAAUCUUCCGCAAUGGGCGAAAGCCUGACGGAGCAACGCCGCGUGAGUGAUGAAGGUUUUCGGAUCGUAAAGCUCUGUUGCCAAGGAAGAACGUCUCAUAGAGUAACUGCUAUGAGAGUGACGGUACUUGAGAAGAAAGCCCCGGCUAACUACGUG